rnacentral:misc_RNA from 1 species
GAUUUCUUUCGAUGGACGUUGCUGAUGACCCUUCGUCAAGAGUGUGUGGACGGGGGUGACGUUUCUCUAUGAACAUCGCAGCACUUCUAGUACUUCUUGUGACAGAGGGGUCUCUUCUUUCAAGAAGGUAACGAACAUGCAUUUUUCAAUAAUGAAGCUCUGGAACUGCAUCUUCGGGCAUCACUCAUGAACAUCGGUAUUCAAGAAGGCAAUGAAUCUCCACUGGAGGUCAAGGAAGAAAUAUUCCAUGGGCGAAAUGACCAACUACAUGUCCAGCGAUACUGAAACCAUCGCCUACCAUCUCACCCAUCUUACAGAGGUCAUAUUCACGCCGAUUCAUUUCAUUGUCGUCUUCUACCAGCUGUUCAACAUCCUUGGUCCAUCUGCAGGAUUUGGCCUCCUCGUCAUUUUGCUCAUAAUGCCCAUCAAUACGUACGUCGCUGUGAGGAUGCAAUCUCUGAUUGAAGAGAACUCUAAACAGAAGGAUGAAAAGAUGAAACUUCUCAACGAGGUCCUUACAGGAAUGAAGGUAUUGAAGCUUUAUGCUUGGGAGAAGUGCUUUGGAGACAAGCUCAAUGCUGCCAGAGAAAAGGAGUUGGAGGGCCUGAAGCAGUUGUUGUCUAUUAGGGCAUUCAGCAUCUUCAGCUGGAACGCUGCACCUUUUGUGAUUUCCAUAGUGAUGUUCUGUGGGUUUUUCUACUUGAAUGGAGAUAGUAUUUUGACCGCUAAAUCAGCCUUCGCCAUAGUGUCUCUGAUGAACAUCCUCCGAUAUGCCAUAAACCAAACACCGGAAGUUGUCUUCGAUCUCAUUAAGGCCGACGUCAGCAUCAAGAGACUCCAGGAGUUUUUCAGGGAAGAUGAAUUUGGUGCCAACCAUGAUCAAUGUGAUAAUACAAAUGGUGUGGCAAUAGAAAUGAGGAAUGCUUCUUUAUCUUGGGACGACAACAACCAGCCAGUACUUAGCAAUAUCAACCUCAGCAUACACGAGAACAGUUUAGCUGCCGUGGUAGGUCACGUCGGUAGUGGUAAAACGUCCAUGGUCGCUGCUGUUCUUGGGGAGGUUGACAAGGUAAAGGGUCACAUUGGAGUGCAGGGUCGUGUGGGCUAUGUUCCACAACAAGCAUGGAUACAGAACGACACCUUGAGGAACAACAUCUUGUUUGGCAAGCCAUUGGACAAGGGACUAUACGAGAGGGUGAUCCACGCUUGUGCGUUAAAGCCUGAUAUUGACGUUCUGGCUGAUGGAGACCUGACAAUGAUUGGAGAGAGGGGAAUCAACUUGAGUGGAGGACAGAAGCAGAGGGUGUCGUUAGCUAGAGCUGUCUACAAUGACGCAGACAUAUACCUCCUGGACGACCCUCUCAGUGCCGUGGACAGCCAAGUGGGAAGACACAUUUUUGACAAAGUCAUCGGCUCCAACGGCAUGUUAAAGGACAAGACACGAAUCUUGGUAACGCACAACAUCAGAUAUCUACCUGACGUUGAAAACAUCAUCGUCCUUGCGGAGGGCACGGUGGCACAGACGGGGUCCUUCAGUGAUCUUCUUAAAAGUGAAGGGGCGUUUACCCAGGUUCUCAAGUCGUACCUCGCAGAGUACGAGGACAAUAGAGAGGAUAUUGGAGAUCUGCAAAAUGACCAUGAUGAUUUAUCAAACGAUUUGAAGAGUACACUGAAGAGGUUGGAAAGUGAGGGGCAGUCGCCCAUGCCUCCAGCUGGAUACGAACGCCAGACAUCGAGGACGUCCAGACAGUCUUCCAGAAACUUGUCUAUCUCAGAGGAGACUCAUAGUGCUACUGGUGCUUUCAUUGAUGUGGAGGAGACGACAGACAUUAGCGGGAAGGAAAAAUGGAACCUGCUUUUGGACUAUAUGAAAGCCUUCGGGCAGCGGUAUAUGUUUCUACUGGCUGUUGCCUUUGCGCUCUACUAUAUCUUGUUUAUGGGGGCCAACAUCUGGCUCGCUAAUUGGACCGAGGACCCUUUGCUGAAGAAGGUCAGCACAGAGGACCAUGGAAAUGUAUCGCGGGAGGACAUAUGGAGGACCAACAUGAAAUACCUUGCAGUUUACAGCUGGCUCGGACUGAUCAUGUCUCUAUGCCUCCUGACAUAUGCUUUACUAAUGGCGUUUGGAGUUGUGAGGGCAUCUCGAGACUUACAUCACAGACUACUGACAAGUAUUCUUACUUCACCAAUGGAAUUCUUUGAAACAACGCCAAUAGGAAGGAUAACCAAUCGCUUCUCUCGAGACAUAGAGAUUAUAGAUGGAGAAUUACCCUUUAGACUGGAGUUUUGGUUCGACUCGGCGAUGAAUAUAACUAUUGCCAUGUUUGCUGUUGUAUACAGCACGCCACACGUCCUUGUGCUGCUGAUUCCUCUGGCGUAUUACUAUUACGACGUACAGAAACGUUACACCAAGACAAGCUGUCAAGUGAGGAUGUUAGAGUCGAAGCUGCGGUCGCCAAUCGAGAGCCACUUCACCGAAUCCGUAGUAGGGGCUGAAAUUGUGAGAGCCUACAAAGCUCAAGGAAGAUUUUCUGAAAAGUUCGAGGACGUGACUGACAACUGGAACAGGAUGGGAUUUUAUAGUUUGCUGUCACGCAGGUGGCUUGGUGUACACAUGCUUGGUGUGGGUAACGUUGCUUGUGCGAUGUCGUCACUGCUCAGUACUGUCUUCAGAGGUGCCAUGUCUGGUGCCCUACUUGGGCUAGGGAUAUCAUUUUCUAUGGAGAUAAAUGGCUGCAUGAUGUGGUUUGUGAUUUUACAGGGACAAGUUGAAACCAGCCUCAUUUCUAUGAAAAAAAUAGACGAAUACACUAACAGCCCAAAUGAGGCUGCCAGAAGGAAGAACACGGGUCGGUUGCUACCAAUUUGGCCUCACACAGGGAGUCUAACAUUCAAGAACUAUAGUUUACGAUACCGAGAAGGUCUUGACUUGGUAUUGCGGGACAUCACUUUCACUGUUCAUGGAGGAGAAAAGGUUGGUGUUGUAGGGAGGACAGGUGCUGGGAAAUCAUCUCUGAUGCUCUCCCUUUUCCGACUAGUUGAGGCAGCAGAGGGGUCAAUUCUAAUUGACGGGAUUGAUAUAUCAGACAUCGGACUCCAUGAUUUGAGGGAGAAACUUGCUAUCAUACCACAAUGGAUCACUGAGAAUGAACCUCGACCCCAAGGGACUGUACACAGAUUCUAUUAUAUGGACAGCUCUUGACCACACCCAUCUCCGACAUUUUGUUGCUUCCCUCCCUGAGAAGUUGCAGACUGACUGUGGAGAAGGUGGAAGCAGCUUCAGCGUUGGUCAGAGACAGUUACUCUGCCUGGCGAGAACACUUUUGCGAAAGGCAAAAGUGUUGGUUCUUGACGAGGCUACAGCAGCUGUUGACAUGGCAACGGAUGACCUGAUACA